rnacentral:sRNA from 1 species
GACCUAACCUAUUUUUAUAUUAAAAAUUAAAGUGGCAUGGUCGUUAGAAACCCAACAAAGGUAAAGAACUCCUAGUCAGAGUUCACCUUUGUUGGGUAAUAUAAUACUUGGAAACGAGUAUUGGUAGCUUUCGGGCUAUC